rnacentral:rRNA from 1 species
AGUGAACGCUGGCGGUAGGCCUAACACAUGCAAGUCGAACGGCAGCACAGAGGAGCUUGCUCCUUGGGUGGCGAGUGGCGGACGGGUGAGGAAUACAUCGGAAUCUACUCUGUCGCGGGGGAUAACGUAGGGAAACUUACGCUAAUACCGCAUACGACCUACGGGUGAAAGCAGGGGAUCUUCGGACCUUGCGCGAUUGAAUGAGCCGAUGUCGGAUUAGCAAGUUGGCGGGGUAAAGGCCCACCAAGGCGACGAUCCGUAGCUGGUCUGAGAGGAUGAUCAGCCACACUGGAACUGAGACACGGUCCAGACUCCUACGGGAGGCAGCAGUGGGGAAUAUUGGACAAUGGGCGCAAGCCUGAUCCAGCCAUACCGCGUGGGUGAAGAAGGCCUUCGGGUUGUAAAGCCCUUUUGUUGGGAAAGAAAUCCAUCUGGUUAAUACCCGGGUGGGAUGACGGUACCCAAAGAAUAAGCACCGGCUAACUUCGUGCCAGCAGCCGCGGUAA